rnacentral:rRNA from 1 species
UACGAAGGGAGCUAGCGUUGUUCGGAAUCACUGGGCGUAAAGCGCACGUAGGCGGAUGUGUCAGUCAGGGGUGAAAUCCCGGAGCUCAACUUCGGAACUGCCCUUGAUACAGCACGUCUUGAGUCCGGAAGAGGUGGGUGGAAUUCCUAGUGUAGAAGUGAAAUUCGUAGAUAUUAGGAAGAACACCGGUGGCGAAGGCGGCCCACUGGUCCGGUACUGACGCUGAGGUGCGAAAGCGUGGGGAGCAAACAGG